CCUACGGGUGGCAGCAGUGGGGAAUAUUGCACAGUGGGGGAAACCCUGAUGCAGCGACGCCGCGUGAGUGAAGAAGUAUUUCGGUAUGUAAAGCUCUAUCAGCAGGGAAGAAAAUGACGGUACCUGACUAAGAAGCCCCGGCUAACUACGUGCCAGCAGCCGCGGUAAUACGUAGGGGGCAAGCGUUAUCCGGAUUUACUGGGUGUAAAGGGAGCGUAGACGGUUAUGCAAGUCUGAAGUGAAAGCCCAAGGCUCAACCAUGGGACUGCUUUGGAAACUGUAAAACUGGAGUGCAGGAGAGGUAAGCGGAAUUCCUAGUGUAGCGGUGAAAUGCGUAGAUAUCAGGAGGAACACCGGCGGCGAAGGCGGCCUGCUGGACUGAAACUGACGUUGAGGCUCGAAGGUGCGGGUAUCAAACAGGAUUAGAUACCCGUGUAGUC
rnacentral:rRNA from 1 species